AGCCUGAUGCAGCGACGCCGCGUGAGGGAUGACGGCCUUCGGGUUGUAAACCUCUUUCAGCAGGGAAGAAGCGAAAGUGACGGUACCUGCAGAAGAAGCGCCGGCUAACUACGUGCCAGCAGCCGCGGUAAUACGUAGGGCGCAAGCGUUGUCCGGAAUUAUUGGGCGUAAAGAGCUCGUAGGCGGCUUGUCACGUCGGAUGUGAAAGCCCGGGGCUUAACCCCGGGUCUGCAUUCGAUACGGGCAGGCUAGAGUGUGGUAGGGGAGAUCGGAAUUCCUGGUGUAGCGGUGAAAUGCGCAGAUAUCAGGAGGAACACCGGUGGCGAAGGCGGAUCUCUGGGCCAUUACUGACGCUGAGGAGCGAAAGCGUGGGGAGCGAACAGGAUUAGAUACCCUGGUAGUCCACGCCGUAAACGUUGGGAACUAGGUGUUGGCGACAUUCCACGUCGUCGGUGCCGCAGCUAACGCAUUAAGUUCCCCGCCUGGGGAGUACGGCCGCAAGGCUAAAACUCAAAUGAA
rnacentral:rRNA from 1 species